GACGAACGCUGGCGGCGUGCUUAACACAUGCAAGUCGAGCGGUAAGGCCCUUCGGGUACGACGAGCGGCGAACGGGUGAGUAACACGUGGGUGACCUGCCUCUAGCUCUGGGAUAAGCCUGGGAAACUGGGUCUAAUACCGGAUAUGACUCCACGGCGCAUGUUGUGGGGUGGAAAGCCUUGUGUGGCUAGAGAUGGGCCCGCGGCCUAUCAGCUUGUUGGUGGGGUGAUGGCCUACCAAGGCGACGACGGGUAGCCGGCCUGAGAGGCGACGGCCACACUGGGACUGAGACACGGCCCAGACUCCUACGGGAGGCAGCAGUGGGGAAUCUUGCGCAAUGGGCGAAAGCCUGACGCAGCGACGCCGCGUGAGGGAUGACGGCCU
rnacentral:rRNA from 1 species